AUGGCCGGCGGCGUUAGGAGGCUCUCGGAGGUGCUGCGGGAGCAGCAGGAGCCGUUCCUCCUUCAGGGAGAGCCCUGCUGCUCCGUCAACAACAAGGGCGUCAGGGCUUCGUGGGGCCGGGCCGUGAGGAGGGCGGUGCCGCGGUGGCGGUCUGACGGCCUCGCCGUCGGCUGCUUCCCCUGCGCCGCCCGCAAGCGCGAGAGCUUCCGCCCGCUGUCGCGCGCCGGCCACGCGCACUGCGACGACGACGCGAGGCGGCUCAGCCCGGUGUCCGUCCUGGACGUGCUGCGGUGCUCCGACGACGAGGAGGAAGCGUCGUCGUCGCCCACGCUCAGCGACUGGGAGGAGGAGGAGGACGACAAGCCAUCGUCGACGGCAGGCAGCUCGCCGCCACCCGACAAGAAGGAGGAGUCGGAGGAGGAGUGGAGGAAGGUGGUCUCGUCGUGGGAGAGGGUCGCGGGGGACAUCGCAAGGGUCCCCGUGCUUGCGCAGCUGGACCUGUUGAGCUCCAUGUCGGCGAGGGAGUGGGAGUGGCACGGGGAGGCGGAGGCAGAGCGGGUGGGCGCGAGCGUGGAGGCCAUGAUCUUCGAGGAGAUGAGCGCGGAUGCCGUGCGCGACAUGGUCGACCUGUAG
rnacentral:rRNA from 1 species